CACAGACACACAGACACACACACACACACACAGACACACACACACACACACACACACACACACACACACACACACACACACACACACACACACACACACACACACACACACACACACACACACACACAAUAUGUAAAAAUGUGUGACCACACUGCAGAAUAUAAGGCAGGGUAGCCUAGUGGUUAGAGUGUAGAGGCGGCAGGGUAGCCUAGUGGUUAGAGUGUAGAGGCGGCAGGGUAGCCUAGUGGUUAGAGUGUAGAGGUGGCAGGGUAGCCUAGUGGUUAGAGUGUAGAGGCGGCAGGGUAGCCUAGUGGUUAGAGUGUAGAGGCGGCAGGGUAGCCUAGUGGUUAGAGUGUAGAGGCGGCAGGGUAGCCUAGUGGUUAGAGUGUAGAGGCG
rnacentral:lncRNA from 1 species